GGGGGUAUAGCUCAGCUGGGAGAGCGCUUGAAUGGCAUUCAAGAGGUCAGGGGUUCGAGCCCCCUUAUCUCCACCA
rnacentral:tRNA from 3 species